rnacentral:rRNA from 1 species
GACGUAGGGCGCGAGCGUUGUCCGGAUUUAUUGGGCGUAAAGAGCUCGUAGGCGGCUUGUCGCGUCGACUGUGAAAGCCCGCGGCUCAACCGCGGGGUCUCGCAGUCGAUACGGGCGGGCUAGAGUUCGGUAGGGGAGACUGGAAUUCCUGGUGUAGGCGGUGAAAUGCGCAGAUAUCAGGAGGAACACCGGUGGCGAAGGCGGGUCUCUGGGCCGAUAUUGACGCUGAGGAGCGAAAGCGUGGGGAGCAAACAGG